rnacentral:misc_RNA from 1 species
GAUGAAGAACGUAGCGAAAUGCGAUAAGUAAUGUGAAUUGCAGAAUCCAGUGAAUCAUCGAAUCUUUGAACGCACAUUGCGCCCGCCAGCAUUCUGGCGGGCAUGCCUGUUCGAGCGUCAUUUCAACCCUCGACCUCCCUUUGGGGAAGUCGGCGUUGGGGACCGGCAGCACACCGCCGGCCCUGAAAUGGAGUGGCGGCCCGUCCGCGGCGACCUCUGCGUAGUAAACCAACUCGCACCGGAACCCCGACGUGGCCACGCCGUAAAACACCCAACUUCUGAACGUUGACCUCGAAUCAGGUAGGACUACCCGCUGAACUUAAGCAUAGCAAUAAGCGGAGGA